UACAGAGGGUGCAAGCGUUGUCCGGAAUUACUGGGCGUAAAGGGCGCGUAGGCGGCCCGAUAAGUAGGAGGUGAAAUUCUGCGGCUCAACCGCAGGACUGCCUUCUAAACUGUCAGGCUUGAGCACGGUAGAGGCUGGCGGAAUUCCCGGUGUAGCGGUGGAAUGCGUAGAGAUCGGGAAGAACAUCCGUGGCGAAGGCGGCCAGCUGGGCCGUUGCUGACGCUGAGGCGCGACAGCGUGGGGAGCAAACAGG
rnacentral:rRNA from 1 species